rnacentral:rRNA from 1 species
UACGGAGGAUCCAAGCGUUAUCCGGAUUUAUUGGGUUUAAAGGGUGCGUAGGCGGACUCUUAAGUCAGUGGUGAAAGUUUGCCGCUCAACGGUAAAAUUGCCAUUGAAACUGAGAGUCUUGAGUGCAAAUGAGGUAGGCGGAAUGUAUUGUGUAGCGGUGAAAUGCUUAGAUAUAAUACAGAACACCAAUUGCGAAGGCAGCUUACUGGGAUGCAACUGACGCUGAUGCACGAAAGCGUGGGGAUCAAACAGGAUUAGAUACCCUGGUAGUCCACGCAGUAAACGAUGAAUGCUAGCUGUAUGCGAUAUACUGUAUGCGGCACAGCGAAAGCGUUAAGUAUUCCACCUGGGGAGUACGUUCGCAAGAAUGAAACUCAAAGGAAUUGACGGGGGCCCGCACAAGCGGAGGAACAUGUGGUUUAAUUCGAUGAUACGCGAGGAACCUUACCCGGGCUUGAAAUGCAGACGACGAAUGGUGAAAGCUAUUUUCCAGCAAUGGCGUCUGUGUAGGUGCUGCAUGGUUGUCGUCAGCUCGUGCCGUGAGGUGUCGGCUUAAGUGCCAUAACGAGCGCAACCCCUAUGUUUAGUUACUAACAGGUCAAGCUGAGGACUCUAGACAGACUGCCACCGUAAGGUGCGAGGAAGGUGGGGAUGACGUCAAAUUAGCACGGCCCUUACGUCCGGGGCGACACACGUGUUACAAUGGGGGGUACAGAGGGUUGCUACUUGGUGACAAGAUGCUAAUCUCAUAAAGCCUCUCUCAGUUCGGAUCGGAGUCUGCAACUCGACUCCGUGAAGCUGGAUUCGCUAGUAAUCGCGCAUCAGCCAUGGCGCGGUGAAUACGUUCCCGGGCCU